rnacentral:rRNA from 1 species
GUCUGGGAAGCUGCCUGAUGGAGGGGGAUAACUACUGGAAACGGUGGCUAAUACCGCAUAACGUCGCAAGACCAAAGAGGGGGACCUUCGGGCCUCUUGCCAUCAGAUGUGCCCAGAUGGGAUUAGCUUGUUGGUGAGGUAACGGCUCACCAAGGCGACGAUCCCUAGCUGGUCUGAGAGGAUGACCAGCCACACUGGAACUGAGACACGGUCCAGACUCCUACGGGAGGCAGCAGUGGGGAAUAUUGCACAAUGGGCGCAAGCCUGAUGCAGCCAUGCCGCGUGUAUGAAGAAGGCCUUCGGGUUGUAAAGUACUUUCAGCGGGGAGGAAGGUGUUGUGGUUAAUAACCGCAGCAAUUGACGUUACCCGCAGAAGAAGCACCGGCUAACUCCGUGCCAGCAGCCGCGGUAAUACGGAGGGUGCAAGCGUUAAUCGGAAUUACUGGGCGUAAAGCGCACGCAGGCGGUCUGUCAAGUCGGAUGUGAAAUCCCCGGGCUCAACCUGGGAACUGCAUUCGAAACUGGCAGGCUUGAGUCUUGUAGAGGGGGGUAGAAUUCCAGGUGUAGCGGUGAAAUGCGUAGAGAUCUGGAGGAAUACCGGUGGCGAAGGCGGCCCCCUGGACAAAGACUGACGCUCAGGUGCGAAAGCGUGGGGAGCAAACAGGAUUAGAUACCCUGGUAGUCCACGCCGUAAACGAUGUCUACUUGGAGGUUGUGCCCUUGAGGCGUGGCUUCCGGAGCUAACGCGUUAAGUAGACCGCCUGGGGAGUACGGCCGCAAGGUUAAAACUCAAAUGAAUUGACGGGGGCCCGCACAAGCGGUGGAGCAUGUGGUUUAAUUCGAUGCAACGCGAAGAACCUUACCUGGUCUUGACAUCCACAGAACUUUCCAGAGAUGGAUUGGUGCCUUCGGGAACUGUGAGACAGGUGCUGCAUGGCUGUCGUCAGCUCGUGUUGUGAAAUGUUGGGUUAAGUCCCGCAACGAGCGCAACCCUUAUCCUUUGUUGCCAGCGAUUAGGUCGGGAACUCAAAGGAGACUGCCAGUGAUAAACUGGAGGAAGGUGGGGAUGACGUCAAGUCAUCAUGGCCCUUACGACCAGGGCUACACACGUGCUACAAUGGCGCAUACAAAGAGAAGCGACCUCGCGAGAGCAAGCGGACCUCAUAAAGUGCGUCGUAGUCCGGAUUGGAGUCUGCAACUCGACUCCAUGAAGUCGGAAUCGCUAGUAAUCGUGGAUCAGAAUGCCACGGUGAAUACGUUCCCGGGCCUUGUACACACCGCCCGUCACACCAUGGGAGUGGGUUGCAAAAGAAGUAGGUAGCUUAACCUUCGGGAGGGCGCUUACCACUUUGUGAUUCAUGACUGGGGUGAAGUCGUAACAAGGUAACCGUAGGGGAACCUGCGGUUGGAUCACCUCCUUACCUUAAAGAA